rnacentral:rRNA from 1 species
GUAGGUGGCAAGCGUUGUACCGGAAUUAGUUGGGGACGUAAAGCGCGCGCAGGCGGUUACUUUAAGUCUGAUGUAGAAGCCCACGGGCUCAACCGUGGAGGGUCAUUGGAAACUGGAGAACUUGAGUACAGAAGAGGAAAGCGGAAUUCCACGUGUAGCGGUGAAAUGCGUAGAGAUGUGGAGGAACACCAGUGGCGAAGGCGGCUCUCUGGUCUGUAACUGACGCUGAGGCGCGAAAGCGUGGGGAGCAAACAGGAUUAGAUACCCUGGUAGUCCACGCCGUAAACGAUGAGUGCUAAGUGUUAGGGGGUUUCCGCCCCUUAGUGCUGCAGCUAACGCAUUAAGCACUCCGCCUGGGGAGUACGGCCGCAAAGGCUGA